CUACGGGCCGCUCCAGUGGGGAAUAUUGCACAAUGGGCGCAAGCCUGAUGCAGCCAUGCCGCGUGUAUGAAGAAGGCCUUCGGGUUGUAAAGUACUUUCAGCGGGGAGGAAGGGAGUAAAGUUAAUACCUUUGCUCAUUGACGUUACCCGCAGAAGAAGCACCGGCUAACUCCGUGCCAGCAGCCGCGGUAAUACGGAGGGUGCAAGCGUUAAUCGGAAUUACUGGUCGUAAAGCGCACGCAGGCGGUUUGUUAAGUCAGAUGUGAAAUCCCCGGGCUCAACCUGGGAACUGCAUCUGUUACUGGCAAGCUUGAGUCUCGUAGAGGGGGGUAGAAUUCCAGGUGUAGCGGUGAAAUGCGUAGAGAUCUGGAGGAAUACCGGUGGCGAAGGCGGCCCCCUGGACGAAGACUGACGCUCAGGUGCGAAAGCGUGGGGAGCAAACAGGAUUAGAUACCCCGGUAGUC
rnacentral:rRNA from 1 species